CCCCGCUCCCCCAGGCGUGSCGCAGCCCUGCCCGUGGGGUGCCCCGGCACUGUCCCUGCCCCACGGCGCCGCUCGGUGCCAGGGCGCCCGGCCCAGCCUGGCUGUGCGAGCCGUCUGGGGUGCCAGCGGGAUGGGGGUGCGGCAGGCAGGUGCUGGCCGGGGGCCAGGCCAGCCCUGCCCUGCUGCYGCCAACCAGUGCUGUGAGCUGCCCYGAGCAGGGUCCUGCCCGCAGCCCCUCGCCCCCAGCUGUGGGCUUUCCCCAAGCGCUGCCCUGGUUUCACCAUGCGCGGUUUCAUGUUGCGGGUUUUGUCUGUGCGGUGUCCUGCCAACUUGUGCCUGGUGCUGUGAGCGUCCUCCAGGCCUCCUCCUGCUCCAGCCAACUCGCGUCUGGUGCUGUGGGUGUCCUCCAGGCCUUGUCCUGCUCCAGCCAGCUAGUGCCUGGUGCUGUGAGUGUCCUCCAGACCAUGUCUUGCUCUGGCCAGCUAGUGCCUGGUGCUGUGAGUGUCCUCCAGACCAUGUCUUGCUCUGGCCAACUAGUGCCUGGUGCUGUGAGCCUAUUCCAGGCCUUGUCCUUCUGCCAACUCGUGCCUGGUGCUGUGAGAGUCCUCCAGACCAUGUCCUGCUCCAGCCAGCUAGUGCCUGGUGCUGUGAGAGUCCUCCAGACCUCCUCCUGCCAACUAGUGCCUGAUGCUGUCAGCGUACCCAAGCAGUGCCUCCCUCAUGCAGUGCGUGUCCGUCACCAUGACCUUGCCCUCCCCCUUCCCCAUGGUGUCAGUUUGUCUUUCCAGCCCAGCACAAAGCAGCUCUGCUGUCCCUGCCCCCCCCCCCCGGUGUGUUGACUUUGUGCUGUCCUUUCCAGGCCUUUUCCCUCUGCAAUCAGUCAUUAACCUGGGCUUGGAGGCACCAGUCUGCAGCUGCCACCAGCCCCAGGGCCACCAUGCCAGUUUCUGACUGCUGAUAACCUUGGGGACUUCACGUGAGGCGGUGGGAGUGCCUGGCCCCUGGGGUGACAGGCACCAUCAGCACUCGCCCCGGCUUGUAGGGGGAUAAAAGGCCCCUGGUGUGGUGAGGCUGGCACAGGUCUAGCCCAGGGCUCACCUGUCUGCAGGCAGGACCGGGACCUGUCCAGCUCCUCUGCCG
rnacentral:lncRNA from 1 species